UACGGGGGGGGGCAAGCGUUGUUCGGAAUUACUGGGCGUAAAGGGCUGGUAGGCGGCCAACUAAGUCGGAUGUGAAAUCCCCAGGCUUAACCUGGGAACUGCAUCCGAUACUGGUCGGCUUGAAUCCGGGAGAGGGAUGCAGAAUUCCUGGUGUAGCGGUGAAAUGCGUAGAGAUCAGGAAGAACAUCGGUGGCGAAGGCGCUCUGCUGGACCAUAACUGACACUCAGGGACGAAAGCUAGGGGAGCGAAUGGG
rnacentral:rRNA from 1 species